ACCCGUCUGGAGAGGAGGGGGGCGCCGGCCUGUCCCAGCUGCAACGCGACCCCAGAGGGGCGCGAGACGCCGCCGGCCGCGCCGCCGCCUCCACCAACGCCGCGGGCACCGUAGGAUCACGCUGAGAAGAGAAACGAGGUGCCAAGCUCUCCUGAUGAAAUGUGUUCUGCCCCACUGGGCUCCAGGGGCAGUGUCUGGUGCUGUUGAUGCCCUUGUUCGAAAUUUCCAGAAUGGAUAGUCCCCCAAAGCUGACUGGAGAGACCCUCAUCGUCCACCACAUCCCCCUGGUGCACUGUCAAGUCCCAGACAGACAGUGCUGUGGAGGGGCAGGUGGGGGUAGUGGGAGCACAAGAUCCAAUCCCUUCUGCCCACCUGAGCUGGGCAUCACCCAGCCUGAUCAAGACCUAGGACAAGCUGACUCGCUGCUAUACAACAGUCUGCACUCUGCUCCGGGGGGAUCUGCGCGGUCUGCAGACAGCACGAAGAGUAGGGUGCGGGAUGGAAGAGGCCCCGGGGCCCCUAAACGACACAAUCCCUUCCUGCUACAGGAAAGUGUGGCUGAGCCAGGACUUGGUGACCUAUAUGAUGACAGCACUGGUGAUAGUGCCACCCAGCAGUCCUUCCACCUGCAUGGGGCUGGUCAGCCCACCUUACAUCUGUCCCCUUUCCAGCUGCCACCACCUGGCCCUAGAGUGAGCAGGCCAUGGGGGGCAACACGUAGUCGGGCUGGAGUAGUGGAAGGGCAGGAGCAGGAGCCAGUGGCCACCUUGGAUACCCAGCAGUGCAGCACCAGCCACUGCUGCCGGCCAGAACUGGAAGCGGAGACCAUGGAACUGGAUGAGUGUGGGGGGCCUGGUGGGAGUGGCAGUGGGGGUGGAGCCAGUGAUACCUCUGGCUUUUCCUUUGAUCACGAAUGGAAACUCAGUUCAGAUGAAUCCCCAAGGAACCCAAGAUGCUCAGGCUCAGGACCUCAGCACUGCCGCUGCAGUAGCACAUCCAGUCAGUCUGAGGCGGCUGACCAGUCCAUGGGCUAUGUGAGUGACUCCUCCUGCAACAGCUCAGACGGUGUGCUGGUCACCUUCAGCACCCUCUACAACAAGAUGCAUGGCAACUCCCGUGCCAAUCUCAACUCCGCCCCACAGUCUUGCAGCAACUCUUCCUUCUGCAGCCACUCAGACCCUGGCGCCUUCUACCUGGACCUGCAGCCCUCCCCAGCUGAGUCUAAGAUGUCUUGUGAGUCCCACCACCCCGACAGUGGGGGAAGGGAGGGGAGCUAUGGCUGUCCUCAUGCCUCGUCUCCUGAGCUCGAUGCCAACUGCAACUCCUACCGCCCACACUGUGAGCCCUGCCCAGCUGUGGCUGACCUCACAGCCUGCUUCCAGAGCCAGGCCCGUCUUGUUGUGGCCACACAGAAUUACUAUAAACUUGUCACCUGUGACCUGUCCUCCCAAUCAUCCCCAAGCCCAGCUGGCUCUUCCAUCACCAGCUGCUCUGAGGAACACACCAAGAUAAGCCCGGCACCAGGCCCUGGUCCAGACCCUGGCCCCAGCCAGCCCUCUGAGUAUUACCUAUUCCAGAGGCCAGAAGUCCAGCCAGAGGAGCAAGAAGCAGUGGGUUCCUCAGUGGAAGCAGCAGCUCCUGUGGGCCCUGCUGUGAUCGAGGGGCAAGUGUACACUAACACUUCGCCCCCCAACCUUAGCACUGGACGCCAGCGCUCUCGAAGCUGUGAUCGCACCCUGGCGCGCAGCCCUCCUGUCCGCCUGGGCUCACUGGAACGCAUGUUGAGUUGCCCAGUGCGCCUGAGUGAGGGUCCUACAGCCCUCGCUGGGCCUGGCUCCCCGCCUAGGCGGGUCACCUCCUUCGCCGAGCUCGCCAAAGGCCGGAAGAAAGCUGCAGGCUCUGGCUCUCCGCCACUUCGACUGAGCAUCGGAGAGUCCUCCCAGGAGUUCUCACCCAUCCAAGAAGCCCAACAAGAUAGGGUGGGCCCACUGGAUGAGGGCGUUCGCUGUAGCCAUAGCCUACCACCCAUGCCUUCGGGGCCAGGCAUGGACCUAGUUGGCCCAGAGCCCUGGUCCACCCAGGUCUGUCAGGGCCCCCAGUCCAAUGAGAUGCCACCUACUGGCCUCAGAGCUGCUGGGCAAGGCCCCCUGGCCCAGCUGAUGGAUCCAGGGCCUGCUCUCCCAGGGAGCCCAGCCAACAGCCAUACACAGAAGGAUGCAAGAGCUAGAGCUGACGGAGGUGGUGCUGAGAGCCGACCAGUCCUUCGCUACAGCAAGGAGCAGAGGCCUACCACGCUGCCCAUCCAGCCCUUCGUGUUCCAGCACCACUUCCCCAAGCAGUUGGCCAAGGCCCGAGCCCUCCACAGCCUUUCCCAGCUCUACAGCCUCUCUGGUUGUGGCCGUGCACAGCAGCCUGCCCCACUGGCUGCCCCCACUGCUCAAGUUCCAGCCUUAGCUCCCUCAGGGGAGUCACAGGCACCCACCAACAGAGGUGCCAGGAAAGCUGGUCCUGAGCUAGAAACCUCACGGCCGUCACCCCUGGGUAGCUACUCUCCCAUCCGCAGUGCUGGCCCCUUUGGGCCCAGCACCGAUUCUUCUGCUUCCACCUCGUGCUCCCCUCCUCCAGAGCAGGCCACAGCCACAGAAAGCUCACCCCCAUGGAGCCACUCCUGUCCUCCUGUUGCCCGGCCUGCCACCUCGCAGCAGCCACAGAAGGAGGAUCAGAAGAUACUGACCUUGGCUGAGUACCGUCUCCAUGGAACAGGAAGUUUGCCUCCUCUGGGCUCCUGGAGAUCUAGCCUCAGUCGAGCAGAAAGUCUAGCCCGGGGAGGUGGUGAGGGCAGCAUGGCCUCCAGGCCCAAUAAUGCCAACCACCUGUCCCCUCAAGCACUCAAGUGGCGGGAAUACAGGAGGAAGAACCCACUAGGGCCACCUGGAUUGUCAGGGAGCCUAGACCGAAGGCCGCAGGAAGCUCGACUGGCCCGAAGGAACCCCAUCUUUGAAUUCCCUGGCUCCUUCAGUGCUGCUGGCCAUCUGAACUGCCGGAUGAAUGGUCAAGUAGUAAAGCCAUUACCACUGACCUGCCCUGACUUCCAAGACCCCUUUUCCUUGACUGAGAAGCCUCCAGCUGAGUUUUGUCUGUCCCCAGAUGGCAACUCAGAGGCCAUUUCCAUUGACCUACUUCAGAAAAAAGGGCUGGUGAAAGCAGUUAACACUGCUGUGGACCUCAUUGUGGCCCAUUUUGGCACAAGCCGGGAUCCUGGGGUGAAGGCAAAGCUGGGGAAUAGUUCUGUGAGCCCCAAUGUGGGCCACCUGGUUCUGAAGUACUUGUGCCCUGCGGUCCAGGCUGUGCUGGAGGAUGGGCUCAAGGCCUUUGUGCUAGAUGUCAUCAUUGGGCAACGUAAGAACAUGCCGUGGAGUGUGGUUGAGGCUUCCACACAGCUGGGCCCGUCUACCAAGGUCCUGCAUGGCCUCUACAACAAAGUCAGCCAAUUCCCAGAGCUCACCAGUCACACCAUGCGUUUCAACGCCUUCAUUCUUGGCCUGCUCAACAUCCGGUCCCUGGAGUUCUGGUUUAACCACCUCUAUAACCACGAAGAUAUCAUCCAGACCCACUACCAGCCGUGGGGCUUCCUGAGUGCAGCACACACUGUGUGCCCCAGCCUCUUUGAGGAGCUGCUGCUGCUGCUACAGCCCCUGGCCCUGCUGCCCUUCAGCCUUGACUUGCUGUUCCAGCACCGGCUGCUGCAAAGUGGGCAGCAGCAGCGGCAGCACAAGGAGCUGCUGCGGGUGUCCCAGGACCUACUGCUGUCCGCCCACUCAACAUUGCAGCUGGCCCGGGCUCGGGGCCAGGAGGGCCCUGGAGACACGGACAGGGCAGUCCAUGGGGAGCGGGUGAAGGGUGUGGGUGCCUCAGAAGGUGGAGAGGAUGAAGAGGAAGAGGAGACAGAAGAGGUGGCAGAGGCAGCUGGGGGCCCAGGGCGUGGCAGGUGGGCCCGAGGUGGGCAGGCCGGCUGGUGGUACCAGCUCAUGCAGAGUUCCCAGGUCUACAUCGAUGGCUCAGCUGAGUGCUCUAGGUUCCCCCGUGGUGGCAGCAGUAGCAGCAGUGAGAAAAAGAAAGGGUCAGGAAGUGGGGGGCCACCCCCUCGAGAGGGAGUAGUCGAGGGGGCGGAGGCCUGCCCUGCCCCUGAGGAGACCCUUGGCCGGGAUAGGGGCUGGCCCUUCUGGAUGGGGAGCCCACCUGAUUCUGUGCUGGCUGAGCUGAGGCGCAGCCGGGAGAGGGAAGGGUCCAUUGCCCCCUCAGCAGAAAAUGAGGAAGGAGCCUCAGAACCUUCACCUGGGGGCAUCAAGUGGGGCCACCUCUUUGGCUCCCGAAAGGCUCAGCGUGAGACCCGGCCCGCAAACAGGCUACCCUCUGACUGGCUGAGCCUGGACAAGUCCAUGUUCCAACUAGUGGCACAGACAGUGGGUGCCCGCCGGGAGCCAGAACCCAGGGAGAGCCUGCAGGAGCCACCCUCUCCAGCUCUGCCCUCCAAGCCUCCAUGCGAGGUGAAGGCACUGUGCCAUCAUCUGGCCACAGGCCCUGGACAGCUGAGCUUCCACAAGGGAGAUAUCCUCCGGGUGCUGGGGCCAGCUGGAGGAGACUGGCUGCGCUGCAGCCGCGGCCCCGACACCGGCCUGGUGCCACUGGCCUAUGUGACCUUGACCCCAACUCCAAGUCCAACCCCUGGAAGCAGCCAAAACUGAGGCCCUGUGCAUGUUGGUGGCCUCAGGGACCCUCAUAACCCCCAACUCAGAGCCUGAGAGCCCUUCCCAAGCCCUCUGGCUUGGCCACAGAGAGCAGACUAAGAGCUGGGGGCCAUACAUCCCUGUGCUCAGUAUUAAUUACUCCCCGUUAACUGUCCCAGUGACCUCAUCCAGACCUCCACCCCGGAAAGGAGGGAAGGGAUGCAGCACUGGGCUGCCAGGAUUUCCCCAGCCAUCUGGGCUGGCCCUCCCAUAGGUACAGAUAAGCAUGUCCCUAUGCAGGGAGGUGACCAGAGGCCCAUUUGCAGGGUUUCCUAGGCCAGGUGGUGAGGAGGAUGGGUGACAGUAUUGGGGCCAGCUCCCUAAGCCCCCAAAUGUAAAUAGGCUGUGGCCAGUGCCUGGUGGUCAGAAGAGGGAGGAGGAGCCCAGACUUCUGUUUAUGUAUUUAUUUAUUUAUUUAUUACACCUAUUAAUAAAAAAGGUGCUCGGCCUCCAAACCAUUUUUCUUUGUGCCUCCCCCCACCCUGCGGCCCACCUCUCUUCCUUGCCAAAGGAUGGCUGGGAUAGGAAGAAAGGGAAGACAGAACCUGAAGUCCAGGUACCUAUACCAGGAGCUGCUUCUGGAGGGUGCUGAGGCCCAGUGCAUCAUGGGUGAGAUGCCCAUACGUGCGACCGAACUGGAACUUAUACCCUAUAUGGACAAGACAGUCUGUCACUUGUAGCUGGUAGCAUGGAAAAGCCAUUUAUUUCUCAGCCAGUGCCUAAGCCCUCCAAAAUCUUGUCCCACCUUCCACUGUGGGCUACCUCCGUUUCCUUUUCUGCGCAGUGGUAAGCUGAACCACGUGAUCCAAGCCCCCCCUCCAUAUCUAUUAGUUCCAACCCCCCAAACCACCUCCACCCGUGCCACACACGUACAAACACUCUGGUCCCCGAAGCUUCCCUCUGGGGCUAUCCUCACCUGGCACAUAGCCCCCAUAGUUAGGUAACAGGCCCAGGUUCUGAGGGUAGGUCCUAGAAAGUGGGGGGAGAUGUUUGGGAUCCCUCUGGGAUCUGCCCCUUGAAUACAUCUGUCCAAAUUCCUGCAGUGCCCGGUUGGUGAGCGCAGGAAAGCUGGAGCCGAAGAGGAAGCGGGCCCGGGGCACGUAACCAGUGAAGCCUAGGGGGAUGGGGAUACUGAGUCAGGACCUCCUGGGAGCCUCCCCAUGCUUUUGAUCAUUACCCACUUCCUCUCACCUGGCAUGAAGAACUUGCGAGGAUCUUUGUCAUCCAUGGAAUAGGGGGAAGCCUUGUGAGGGGAAGUUGAUAGAGAAAAAAUAAGGGCAUCAAAUUCAGCUCCUGUGCUCUACCAGAAGCUCCCUGGGAGCUGGAGCUGGCAGUCAGGCCCAUACUCCCUGUACCCAGAGUCAUGCUACUCAUGGCCACCCCUAGGCCUGGUCACACUACCAACUCCCCCUGCACUCUCUCCAGCCUUGUUGGUCUCACUUGUUCUGCCUCUUGCCCCGGCUCCAGCUCCUUCUCUGCCUCCAGCUCUGACUCUGGCUUUGGUUCUUGGUCUUUCCCCAUGUCUUUUUCUUCCUUGGCUUCCUUCGGCAGUUCUUGACUCCUUUGUCCCCCAGACCACUGAGUGAAAUCAUUCAGAGCCUCAGCCCAGACCUGGCUACAGUUCUUGGCAAAGAGGAACUGUGCCUGGGGUACAAAACCUGGGUGGGAGGGGGCAAGGAGGAUUUCAAUUAGUGUUUGGGGCACAUGUUCUGGGACAGGGACACCUAUUCAGACCAGACAUACAUACCUGUGUACCCUGGGAUCAUGCUGGAACUGAGCCUUUCAUGUCCACGCCUGACAGGCGGUCUUCCUCUGGGAACCUCAGGAGAUGGUGGAGGCCGGAUGGGAGGCAGAAGUGUGCGAUGGGCAGGGGGCCAGGCCAGGCCAGGAACUCCUCGAAGUAGCUGACCAGUCAUCUGCCCAUAGGUCUGGCCCAUGCUGAACCGAAGUAGUGGGCAGUGUCCGGUGUACCUGUAGCACAGGACCCCCCCCCCCCGACUCACCUCCAGUCUCCCUCUGCUCCAUCACCCCCAGAGAUAGACACAGAGACCUCUGAAGCCCUGAUUUUUUUUUCUGGAUUCAGCUGUGUGCCUGUGCAGGCAUUUCUCGGUUCUCUAGGUUUUCAACCCUUCCCCUCUGCUGUUACCCUGUUACCAUAGAGAAGACAACAGAGUUUUGUGGCAGGCCCAGCUACCACUAUUGCCUUGCUUUUCCUUUUCCAUCAAACACCAUAAAUAUCCCAGCCCUGGGCCUCCCAAAUACCAGUAUGUCUACUUGACCUCCAAGAUCUAAGUGGCACAAUUCCCAUAUCCCUAUAUGCCUAUUUCCAGAAACAAGCAGAAGUCUUACCCUGGGAUAUAAUGAGGGUUCUGGGGGUUCAGCCCUGGUAUGAAGGUGCUGGCCAUAGCCAUGGGGAUCCAGGCAGUUCCUUUUGUUUCCCUUGGAGCCCAAACUCUGGGCUCUGUGUACUGUGUCCAGGGCUGUGGGGUGGAGCCAGAGGCAGGAGGCAGUGCCAGGGGAGGAGAGAGGAGGAGGCAUUAGUUUGAUCACUGCCAGGGCAAAGGCCAGUGAAACAGGAGAGCAGGGACUCACUGGUUUGUCUACUCCAGAACAAAUGCAGUCGGCCAAGUGGGGCAGGGAAAAGUCUGAGUAGGGCCUCCCCAUUCCAGGAAGGCCUAAGGUGGGAAGGGAAAGAACAAAAACUGUUAGGUCCACUCAGCUCUAUCAUAAAAGAAGACCCUUCCUUCUUAAGCCUCCUGCCUGAAGACAUGUGGGUGCUACUCUUUGUGAGUCUUGGUUGGAGGUGAUAGAGUUCCUGGGAAAAGAGGUCUCUGAGGGAAGCCCAGAGGGGAGGUCACAGGGAGAAAAAGGAACCUAGGGACCUCAAAGCAGUGACAUUGUUUAUUUUCAGUAAUUUAAUCUGAUGAAUUAUUUAUUGAUUACCCACCAUAAUCUGGAUCAUCAUUCAACAAAUUAUGCCAUGCUUUCCUACACACAUUCUGUAGUCAGAAGAGCUAAACUCCACAUGACUUUGGGCAAGUCAUUUAGUGUCUCUGAACCCCACCAUCAUUUACAAAAUGUAGAUACUAGGACUCACCCUGCUACUGUUGUGAGGCUAAAAUUAAUAUAUACAAAUGUGUUUUGUAAUAGUAAAGACCAUGAAGUCAGAAGAGAGGAAGGGUAGGAGAAAGAGCAUGGGCAUGAGGUCACACAGUCAUGCGCUCCUAACAGCUUGUGGCCUUGAGCCAACCUUACCUUUUGUGAGCAGGCAACUUAACUUCUGAACCUGAAUUCCCUAAACUCUAACACGAAAGUUAAAAUAACCCAACCUAUCAGGAUGCUGUUAAGGAUAAAGUCAGUGUGGGAAAGAAUUUACCCCAGGCACCUGGUACACAGCUACUAAAACUUAAUUUUCUUCCCUAUUGUCUAAUACUUUCUCAAAGCUUCUAACACAUAUGGGAGAUCUGUGACUGGUUAGUAAAUUCAGUGGAUAUUGGUUUUCCUAAUGUGGGAGGUCACGGAAAGGAGAUACGACAGUAAUGUUGGGUUUUUAAGACUAGGGUUUUAAGAACAAAUUAGAAUUUGUUAAGAAAACAAUUCAGGGGGCACCUGGCUGGCUCAGUCAGUAGAGCAUGCAACUCUUAGUCUCAGGGUUAUGAGUUCAAGCCCCACACUGGCUGCAGAGCAUAUUUAAAAAAAAAAAAAAAAAAAAAAAGGAAGGGGUGCCUGGGUGGCUCAGUUGGUUAAGUGUCCAUCCGACUCUUAACUUUGGCUCGGGUCAUGAUCUCAUUUUUUGUGGGUUUAAGCCCUGUGUCAGGCUCUGCACUGACACAGCAAGGAGCCUGCUUGAGAUUCUCUCUCUCUCCCCUCUCUGUCAAAAUAAAUACAAACUAUAAAAAAGUAGGGGAGGCACCUGAGUGGCUCAAUUCUUUAAGCGUCCAGCUCUUGAUUUCAACUCAGGUCAUGAUCUCACGGUUCAUGGGAUCGAACAGCGCAGAGCCUGCUCACAUUUUCUCUCUUCCCUCCCCUGCUCACUCUCUCUCUCUCAAAAUAAAUAAACAUUUAAUUUUUUUUUUAAUUUUAAAAAAAAGGAGGGGGAAAACAAUUCGGAUUCUAAGAGGAGUACAGACCAGAAAGAAGAGAUCUCAGGGGUGCCCGGGUGGCUCAUUUGGUUAAGCGUCUGACUUUGGCUCAGGUCAUGAUCUCAGAGCUCAUGAGUUUGAGCCUUGUGUCAGGCUCUGUGCUGACAGCUCAGAGCCUGGAACCUGCUUCAGAUCUGUGUCUCCCUCUCUCUCUCUGCCCCUCCCCCACUUGUGCUCUGUCUCUCUCUAUCUCUCUCUCCCAAAAAUAAAUAAACAUUAAAAAGUUUUUCUUUAAAAAAGUAAAAAUAAAUUUAAAAAAUUUUUUUAAAUAAAGGAGAUCUCAGAAGGGAGCAUGACUGGAACUCAGCUCUGGGGCUGAGUCAGGGCCAGGUCAGUACACCUUUCCAGGAGGCAGAGCCUCUGCUCUUCCCCCUACCCAACUGACAGUGCCCAGGCUGACCAAACACAUGUCACUGACCUGGGGAUUACACAAGAACACUGGGCCCCAAGGAAUACAUUUCACGUUCCUUGCUGUUCUGCCAAAGACAGCCUUGGAAUGUGUCCUUUAGAGCUAGAGUUGUAGGGGACUUGACUCACUAUUAAGGAAAUACGCUAGAUGGGGAUGGGAACUGAGGGGAGAGCCCAGAAAAGUAACAGUGUGUCAAGGUUAACAACCUGGACUUGGGGAUUCCCUAACAGAAUCCAACCCGACUAUUGGUUGCACACUGCGUACCUGUUCCCUACUCCCAUCUCCUUCUUCCUAACAGAACCUUAAUUCUGUCCUGUGGAGCAGCCAGAAACUUCAGGGAAGCUUGGAGCCAGCCCUGGGAAUGAGUCUUAAUUAGUCUAAGCCCAUAAUAGUGAUCCUGUCCCCUUGCCGGCAAUUAGUUAGGCAUGGGCUGGUGGCAUUCUGGACAAUAAAGGGAAGUCAGCCAGGAUGAGAAAGGGUCCCAAGAAAAGUAAGCAAUGUAAAAUGCUGUUUAAAAAGAUGCAUAACAGAGGUGCCUGGGUGGCCAGUCAAGUGUCUGACUUUGGCUCACGUCACGAUCUCACAGUUCAUGAGUUCGAGCCCCACGUCAGGCUCUGUGCUGACAGCUCGGAGCCUGGAGCCUACUUUGGAUUCUGUGUCUCCCUCUCUCUCCGCUGCUACCCUGCUUGUGCACAUGCUCUCUGUCUCUCUCUUUCUUUCUCUCUCUCUCAAAAUAAAUAAAUGUUUUUUCAAAAUCUUAAAAAAAAAAAAGAUGCAUGACAAAUUAGAGAAAGAGAGAUGGACAAGAAGGAAUAAUGUCCCUUCCCGCCUCUAGAAAUUAUAUGGACAUGAUGACAGAACUUUGGUAGGCAUCAUGAAACUUUGUGGAAUGCAAAGCUAAUCUGAGGACAAAACCUGAAUACAGCAAGGAUGGGUGGUAAAGUAGAAAGGCCUGGGUCCUUGAUGAGCUACUGAAUUAAUCAACCUUUUUUUUAAUGUUUAUUUAUUUUGAGAGAAUGAGCAAGCAUAAGUGGGGGAGGGGCAGAUAGAGGGGGAGAAAGAGAAUCCCACCCAAGGGGGCUCUGUGUUGUCAAUGAGGAGCCCUAGAAGGGGCUCAGUCCCAGGAACCAUGAGAUCAUGACCUGAGCCAAAAUCAAGAGUCAGGUGCUUAACCAUCUGAGCCACCCAGGCGCCCCUUAACCAAUCUUUUUAUGUGAAAUAAUUAAUUUCAUUAUUGUUAAGGCCAGUUUAAGUUUUCUUUUACUUAGAGCCCAAGCAUCAUACAUAAAAAUAAAAACAAAAACAAACAAACAAAAAAAAACUAGUUCAAAUUCUAGCUUCACUAGAGAUAUGGACCUUAGCCAAAUUCAUCUCAUUAACCCUCAGUUUUCUUAUCCAUAAAAUGAGGACAUUACUAUUACUUCUUCUUUGAGUAGGACAAAAUAGAUAACAGGACAAGAUAGUAGCACGAGAUGAUACAAAAAGAGAAACUGGCCCAUGCUUAUGUUAAGUGCUAACUAAACAGCAAUUCAUAGUGUUUGGUUGGAAUUUGUUGGGAAUGGGAGACAGGAAAAGAGCUGAGAACAGUAACAGAGGUUGGGGGCUCAGGGGAAAGAGUGUGAAGCUGAGAAAAUGAAAGUUCAAACUUAAGUUGGAGUAUACAUUAGAAUGUAGAGACUAGGGACACCUGGGUGACUCAGUUAAGCGUCUGACUUCAGCUCAGGUCAUGAUCUCACAGUUUGUGAGUCCGAGCCCCACAUCGAGCUCUUUGCUGACAGCGCAGAGCCUGGAGCCUGCCUUGGAUUCUGUGUCUCCCUCUUUCUCUGCCCCUCCUCCGCUGGCUCUCUCUCUCUCUCUCUCUCAAAAAUAAUAUUUUUAAAUUUUAUUUAAAAAAAAAAACGUAGAGACUAGAACAAAUUCUGUAGAACAGACCAUGGCAGUUAGAAUCAGUGUGUGAGUUAAUACAUACUGCAUACAGUUAGUCUUAGAUUUGUGUGAAGUCUUAGAUUUGUGAAGAAGCAGUCUACUCCUAUUGGUGAAAUGGCCUGUAACUAUUAUUGUUUCCAUCUGUGUAGACAAUAUUUCUAAGAUCUGUGAAGAUCAGAAAGGUGUUCUAACCUGGGAAGGAAGUGAAAGAACUAGCUAAGGGGCCCAUAGGAAUGCUCAUUGCCUCUGUGCCCCAUUCCAGGGGAUGGUCGUCAUGGUAACCCAACCACAACUUGCUCCUGGUGGACACUGCAAACCCAGUGUUGGUGCAGAGAAUGUUUCACUAGGAUUCCACCCAUCCAUGAAAUGAAGGUCCAGUUAGGAAAGCCACAUCAGUGCCCUGCCUGUUCCACACAGCCUGUUAGGUCUCCAAAACAGCAGUGUAUAACUUUCUGUGGCUCUGCCUUUGAUCCUGACCAGGAAUUGCUGUAAAAUUUCAUGAUGCAGCUUCAAUUGAAUCUUAUUCAACUAUUAGUUGUCCUGAAAAUAGGCCACUAUCAAUAUCACAGAGGAUGGAUCAAAGGAAAGGAAAUGGUACAGUCUCUUUCUGGCUUUUUUUAAAAGUUCAUUUAUUUUUUUGGGGGGGGGAGCAGAGAGAGAGAGGGAAAGAGAGAGAAUCCCAAGCAGAAUCCGUGCUGCCAGCGCAGAGCCCAUCUCUGGGCUCAAUUUCUUGAACCAUGAGAUCAUGAUCUGAGCCAAAAUCAAGUCAGACGCUUAACCAACUGAGCCUCCCAGGCGCCCCUCCUUCUGGCAUUUUUAUAUGUAUAGUAUUCUUAAAAUCCACAAGGAUCAAUAUUAAUUUAUUCAGUCAACUAACUUUUAUUGAACAUCUCUGCCAGACAAUUACAUUCUGGUCAAUAUAGAGAUGAAUAAAUGAAUUAGACAUAAUUCCUAACCACAGUGAUUUUACAACUUUAAAGAAGAGACAGAGAUACAGAGAAAGUCAAAAUACAAUAAAUUGCCACAAUAGAGAUUAAAAAAAAAAAUUACCUUAAGCUACAAAGAAAAAUCUCAAAAAUCCCAACAAGCACAAAAUAAGCCACAUUUUUUCACACAAAUACAAUAAACCUGUAAACGGAAAAUAAAAAUUAGGUUAACCAAACAAAAAAAAACCACACUAAGACAUUUUUUAAAUGCCCUCUUAAAUAAUUCUUGGAGCAAAAGAAAAAAAGUAUGAUUACAUACCAUCAUUUAGAGAUAAAUAACAACUGAGAACUCAAUCAAAUCUUUAUUGAGGAAAGUUUUAGCCUCAAGUGCAUACUAACAUCAUGACUAAGGACAUAGGCUCAGUUCUGGAUCUGUCACUUACUAACUAUACAACCUUGGGUAAAUUAGUAAACUCUCUGGAUCUCUUUUCAUGGUGAGUAGGAGAGGGGCAGAGAGAGAGGGAGGCACAGAAUCCAAAGCAGGCUCCAGGCUCUGAGCUGUCAGCACAGAGUCCAACCCAGGGCUGGAAUCCAUGAACCGCAAGAUCGUGACCUGAGUGGAGAUCAGACAUUUAACUGACUGAGCCACCCAGGCAUCCCUACAACAGUGAUUUCUUAAGCAGGAAUGUGCUUCAGAAUUACCUAGAGUGGUUUUUUAAAAUAUUCAUGGCUGGCCCCAUCCAGGUUAUUCUGGGAAUUAGGGCACUGGUAUAUUUUUUAAAGUUUUAACUUGGAAAAAAAAACCUACAGAAAAAUCACAAUAAAAAUAUAAUCUUUACUUAGAUUUACCAAUUGUUAACAUUUUGCAGCUUGGAAGUAUGAGAUUCCACAUGCCCAAUGAAGAAAGGAGAAGCAGAUAUAGAUGGACACUGAUAUCUAUCUAUACCACAUUCAUGUCUCUGAAGCCUGGUCUCCCAGCAGAUGAACUGGCUACCCUUACCAAUUAGCUGUGCCUAGCGAGGGCAGGGGGUCAUGCACUGCAGACUGUGAGGACGUCAGCAGAAUAGGCUGCAGACAGGCUAGCCAGGUAAACAAAUCUAAAACCAACUAAUUACCUAAGGGCGCCAGGGUGGCUCAGUCGGCUAAGCAGCUGACUUCUGCUCAGGUCAUGAUCUCAGAGCUCGUGAGUUCCAGCAUAGCAUCGGGCUCUGUGCUGAUAACUCAGAGCCUGGAGCCUGCUUCGGUUUCUCUCUCUCUCUCUCUCUCUCUCUCUCUGCCCCUCCCCUUCUUGGACUCUGUCUCUCAAAAUUGAACGAGCGUAAAAAAAAAUUUUUAAACCAGCUAACUACGUAAGUUGCCUAGCAAAUAGCUGAGCAGUCAACUCAAGAAGCUAGGAAAAGAGGAAUAUCAUAAGCUAAGGAAAAGAGGAAAAAUUUAUGAAGCUGACUGUAGACACCAAUAAACCAGAAACCAGAAAAACAAUUGAAAUGAUUAUUCUAGGAGCUGUAUAAAUAAAUAAAUAAAUAAAUAAGCAAAUAAGCCAACUACUGGCACAGCUAAGCCAAGAGAAAAAGAUUACACAAGCCCUCCAGGUGGCAUGAGGAAAUGGCUAGAAACACAGGCACACAGGAAUUUUUUUUUAACUAUCUAAGAAUACUAGGGGCACCUGGGUGGCUCAAUCAGUUAAGUUUUCGACUUUGGCUCAGGUCAUGAUCUCACGGUUCCUGAGUUCGAACCAGGCUCUACAGUGCACUGUGGGAAAUCAAAUAGCUAUAUCCUGGGUUAGAUUAUAGGGAAUACAUUGCAAAGCAGAACACUGCUUUCUGGCCUUGCUGAAAACAGCAGACCAUGCUUAGCUUAUCUAGUUAAUGUGUAUCUAGGGAUUAGGUCCUGCCUAUGCUCAUAAAUUCCUUAGACCAUGUUAUCACAUGGAAUAUUUGAUCCUGUCUUAACUUGUUUUUCUGCACAUUUCUUUUUAUAUAUGAAUAUAUAUAAAAUUUAUUGUCAAGUUGGCUAACAUAUAGUGUAUACAGUGUGCUCUUGGUUUUGGGGGUAGAUUCCCGUGAUUCAUUGCUUACCUACAACACCCCACUGCUUAUCCAACAAGUGCCCUCCUCAAUGCCCAUCACCCAUUUUCCUCUCUCCCUCUCCAGCCCCAUCAACCCUCAGUUUGUUCUCUGUAUUUAAGAGUCUUUUAUUUUGCCUCCCUCCCUCUCUGUUUGUAACUAUUUUGCCCCUUCCCUUCCCCCAUAGUCUUCUGUUGAGUUUCUCAAGUUCCACAUGUGAGUUUCUGCACGUUUUCUAUACGUUGUUACUCACAUGUAGUCCACUGACAUAUUGCACAAGUUACCCUAAAUGUAUGCUCAAUAAAUACGGGAGGUUGAGAGCAGCUCAGGGACAUUUCCCUUAGCCUCCCUCUCACCUCUCUUAUGGAGUCUUGAGUAAUCCUUUCUGCCAUCCUCAGCUUUGUUGGACAAAGCCAAAAGCUGAACCCACACAGUGCAGAGCCUGGUCGGAUUUUCUGUCUCCCGCUUCUUCUGUCCCUCCCAGGCUCGUACUCUCUCUCAAAAAUAAAUAAACAUUAAAAAAGAAAAAAACAGAAUACUAAGUGAAACUUCAUAUAACUAAACCAAAAAAAUCUCAGUGCAAUUAAUAUUGUCUGGGAAAAUAUAAAUGAAUAUCAACCCAAAAUGACACAGAACACCUGAAGAAGACAAUAGCCACAGAAGAAACUGAAAAAGCAGUUGAAUAGAUGCCCCCUACCAAAAGACCUACAUUACACUCGAUUUACAAAAUUAGUUACUAAGACCUAACAACCUCACACAAGUUAUACAGAUGAAAAAUCCUAAAUAAAACAUCAAACCAGGGAUAGCAAAUAGCAGGAUGCUUGCCAUCACUGUCUUCUCUCCUCCAAUCCAGUGGCAAAUACCACUAAAUGAUCGCAGCCCUCUUUCUGGGACCUCUCAAGGCUCUGCAAGACAGCAUAUCUUGAGUGGUUUCUGCCAAAAGCACAGCGUCAGGGAGAGCUGGCAAAUGUUCUUUAUCACCCCUGAAUUGAGAGUUCAAUACGGGCAGAUACUUUAUCUGUCGAUAUUGUUCACAGUUGUAUCUCUAGCAUGAAGCACUGGUGUCUGGCACAUAAUAAAAAAAAAAAAAUCUAGCAAUAUUGUAAAUUUUUUUUAAGUUUAUUUAUUUUUGAGAGAGAGAGUGAGCAUGAGCGGGGAGGGGCAGAGAGAGAGGGAGACACAGAAUCCAAAGGAUCCAGGCUCUGAUCUGUCAGCACAGAGCCUGAAGUGGGGCUCAAACUCACAAACCAUGAGAUCCUGAGCUGAGCUGAAGUCAGACGCUUAACUGACUGAGCCACCCAGGCACCCCUAGCAAUAUUGUAAAAGAAUAAUAUACGUCAUGUUUCUAGGAUUACAGCAAUGAUUGAACUAGAAAAUCUAUCAAUGUAAUUAACAUGAAUACACCAAAGGAAAUAGCCAUUUCAUCACUCUAACAGACAUGGGGAAAUCAUUUAAAAAAUUAAAUAUCCAUUUGUGAUUUUUUUUUUAAAGAUAUUUUUGGGGCACCUGAGUUGCUCAGUCACUGAAGCGUCCCACUUCAGCUCAGGUCACGAACUUGCAGUCUGUGAGCAUGAGCCCCUUGUCAGGCUCUGUGCUGACAGCUCAGAGCCUGAGCCUGCUUCAGAUUCUGUGUCUCCUUCUCUCUCUCUCUCUCUCUCUCUCUCUCUCUCUCUCUCUCUUUCUGCCCCUCCCCCACUCGCACUCUGUGUCUCUCUCUGUCUCUCAAAAGUAAAUAAACAUUUAAAAAAUUGUUUUAAGAUCCUUUUUUUUUUUUUUAAGGAGGCUUCACUUCCAGUGUGAAGCCCAACCUGGGGUUUAAACUCACAGCCCUGAGAUCAAGACCUGAGCUGAGAUCAAGAGUCCAACACUCAACCGACUAAGCCACCCAGGCCCCCGCCAUUUGUGAACUUUUUAAGUUUAUUUGUUUAUUUUGAGAGAGAAAGCAUGUGUGCCAGAGGGAGUAGAGGCAGAGAGAGAGAGAGAACCCAAAGUAGGCUCUGCACCAGUAACGUGGAGCCUGAUGAGGAGCUCAAACUACAAACCCUGAGAUCAUUACCUGAACCAAAAACAAGAGUUGGAAGCUUUUUCUUUUAAUGUUUAUUUAUUUAAGAGAGAGACAGAGCAUGAGUGGAGGAGGGGUAGAGAGAGAGAGGGAAACACAGAAUCCAAACCAGGCUCCAGGCUCUUAGCUGUCAGCACAGAGCCUGAUGUGGGGAUCGAACUCACAGACCAAGAGAUCAUGACCUGAGCCAAAGUCAGACGCUUAAUUGACUGAGCCACCCAGGCACGCUCCCAUUUGUGAUUUUUAAAAAGGUUUUUAGUAAACCAGAAAUAGAAACAUGAUAAAGAAUAUUUGAAAUGAACAGCCAAUAUCAAACUACAUCCAAGAGAAAAUCCAGGGCCAGAACUGGCAAACAGAUCUCAUUCAUCAUACCAGUUCCAAUUAACUAGUCACUUAUGGGAAUAUUACUGUGAGGUUUCUGAAAAAGGGCUGUGGCUUAGCAAAAAAAAAAAAAAAAAAUACUAAGGAUUAGCUACAUUUGCCAUUGGCAUAAGCUGGAUGCCAGCGUGUAGAGUUGACAGUCCUUCACUUUAGGCAAUCUUACAGAAGUCAGAACCAAGACAAAACUGAUCGCUUUCACCCUUAUUAUUCAACAUUAUUCUAGACAGUCUAGACAGUGCAUGAAACCAAAACAAGUAAUAAGAACCAUAAGUGUUGGAAAAGAAGAAAAAGAUAUCUGCUUGACUGUAAACCCCUAAGAAGCCACUGAAAAACAAUGAGAAUAAGAGGAGUAUAAGAUGGCUUAUGACAUGAAAAAUAAAUUGCACUAUCAAUAGCUUUCUUACUAGCCAGCACUACUAGUUACACAACAUGCUAGGGGACUUCCACCUCCAGCAUUAUAGCAGAUUAUGUGUUCUUCAGCAAUUACCCAAAGCAAAUCAACUAUAUAAGGUUCAGGUAAUUAAUUGUGUGUUUACCUUUCAACAAUUUGACUAGAUUAUAAUCCACAGAGCAACCACCAAGAAAGUAACUAAAAUAUGUAAGUUUAAAAAAAGCAAAUAGGAAAACUAGAAUGGUAUGCUAAAAGAUAUUAGCUUAAACCAAACAGGUAGUAAAGGGGGAAUAGAGGAACAAAACACAUGAGGAACAUGAGGCAAUGAAAACGUAUGUCCAUACAAAACCUGUACGUGAAUAUUCAUAGGAGCAUCAUUCAUAAUAGCUAAAAAGUGGAAACAACCCAAAUGGCAAUCAGCCAAUGAACAAACACAGUACAUCCACACAAUGGAAUAUUAUUCAGCAAUAAAAAAAAAAUGAAGUACAGAUACAUGCUAUCACAUGGAUGAACCUUGAAAACGUUAUGCUGAGUGAAAAAAACAAGAUACCAAGAGACCAUAUAUUACAUGAUUCCAUAUAUUAAAUGUCCAGAAGAGGUAAAUCUAUACAAUGAGAAAGUUAACUAACCAUUGCCUAGGACUGUGGGGCAGGAUAUAGGGAGUGACUGCCAAUGGACAUGAGGUUUCUUCUUGGAAUGAUGAAAAUAUUCUAGAAUUAAUUGUGAUGAUCGUUGCAAAAUUGUGCAUAUAACAAAAACUACUGAAUUUUACACCUUAAAUGGGUGAAUUAUGUGGCCUUUGAAUUAUAUUUCAAUACAAAACUGAUAAAAAAUAAAACUGUAAAAUACCCUAAAAAGCAACCCAAAUCUAAUAAGGUAGAAGAAGGAGGAGUGGGGGAGGGGAGGAGGGGAAGGAGAAGGAGAAGAAAAAGAAAAACGUCAAGAGCAAGUUAAGUUUAUUCUAUAAAUGCAAAGUUGGUUUAAUUUUAGAAAAUUAAUUAAAGUAAUGUAUCAUUGUUUAGAAAUCUUUUUUCUCCCUUCCUCCCAUCCCUGCUAUAGACAGUAUACUUUGGGCUUGGCCAUAUGACUUGCUUUCGUCACUGGAAUGUUGACAGACAUGACAUGACCCUAAGGCAUGAAAAGCAGUUGCAAAACCGUACUUGUCUUCUUACCCUUCUUCUAGCACAAUGAGAAGAACAUUCUGAGGCUAUCAGUGGGUCCCAGGAAGAACAAGAGACAGAUGGCAUAUAGCCAAACACUGUAGCCAAUUCUAGUUUAGAAUGCUGACUCAAAUCAAUAGAUUUAUGAGAAUAAGUACUUGUUUUAUGCCACUGGGUUUUUUUAAAUGUUUAUUUAUUUUUGAGAGAGAGAAAGAGAGGGUGAGCAGGCAAGGGGUAGAGGAAGAAGGAGACACAGAAUCCGAAGCAGGCUCCAGGCUCCAAGCUGUCAGCACAGAGCCCAAUGCAGGGCUCAAACUCAUGAACCAUGAGAUCAUGACCUGAGCCGAAGUUGGACGCUUAACUGACUGAGCCACCCAGGUGCCCCUAUGCCACUGGGUUUUGAUGUGAUUAGUUACAUGCCACUUAAUGUGAUAAGAACUAACUAGAAUAGGUAGCUACAAAAAAAUCCCACAGUAAACAUGAAACCUAAUAGUGAAAAAUUAAGGGGCACCUGGGUGGCUCAGUCAGUUAAGUGUCUGACUCUUGAUUUUGGCUCAGGUCAUGAUUUCACAGUUUGUGAGUUUGAGCCCCACAUCCAGUUCUGCCCCAAUAGCAAGGAGCCUACUUGGGAUUCUCUGUCUCCCUCUAUCUCUGCCCUUUUCCUGCACUCUCUCUCAAAAAUGAAUAAAUAGACUUUAUAAAAAAAAAA